AUUGAACGCUGGCGGCAUGCCUUACACAUGCAAGUCGAACGGUAACGCGGGGCAACCUGGCGACGAGUGGCGAACGGGUGAGUAAUGCAUCGGAACGUGCCCAGUUGUGGGGGAUAACUGCUCGAAAGAGCAGCUAAUACCGCAUACGACCUGAGGGUGAAAGCGGGGGAUCGCAAGACCUCGCGCCAUUGGAGCGGCCGAUGUCGGAUUAGCUAGUUGGUGGGGUAAAGGCCCACCAAGGCGACGAUCCGUAGCUGGUCUGAGAGGACGACCAGCCACACUGGGACUGAGACACGGCCCAGACUCCUACGGGAGGCAGCAGUGGGGAAUUUUGGACAAUGGACGCAAGUCUGAUCCAGCCAUGCCGCGUGCGGGAAGAAGGCCUUCGGGUUGUAAACCGCUUUUGUCAGGGAAGAAAUCUUCUGGGUUAAUACCUCGGGAGGAUGACGGUACCUGGAGAAUAAGCACCGGCUAACUACGUGCCAGCAGCCGCCGUAAUAC
rnacentral:rRNA from 1 species